rnacentral:rRNA from 1 species
UACGGAGGGGGCUAGCGUUGUUCGGAAUUACUGGGCGUAAAGCGCGCGUAGGCGGACCUGCAAGUCGGGGGUGAAAUCCUGGAGCUCAACUCCAGAACUGCCUUUGAUACUGGCGAUCUUGAGUCCGGGAGAGGUGAGUGGAACUGCGAGUGUAGAGGUGAAAUUCGUAGAUAUUCGCAAGAACACCAGUGGCGAAGGCGGCUCACUGGCCCGGUACUGACGCUGAGGUGCGAAAGCGUGGGGAGCAAACAGG